rnacentral:lncRNA from 1 species
GCCAUUUGAUAUUCAAAUCUGUCUCAGGUUUGUACUUUUAUUGCUUCUAUUAAUUGGUUUUUACUUUCAAGAAACCCCAAUAUAAUUUUCGAUCCCAUUUUCAAAAAAACUUAAAACCCUAUAGCUCUCUUUUCUAAACAAAACACUCGGAUUAUGCCAUAAGAUUCAAUUGCGGUUCAGUGAAGAAUAAAAAAUUCUUCGACAAGAGGAUUGAAUAUGUGAGUGGAAUCAUAUUUAUUGGUUUGUCUUGUUUCGAAUCGGCUGCAAGAGGGCUGCGGUGCGACUGCAAGAGAACGAACGAGUUGCAAAAGAGCACACUCUUAUUCAUCAAACCCAUUUGAGAUCUUAGUGAUUUUAGUUGAAGCUAUUUGAAUAUGUAAAAACCUCUACAACAAGCCUCUUUGAAAAUCAUCAUCAAUUUACCAGACCCACUCCUAUCCACUAAGUUAAACAAUUUGAAUCCAAUAGUCUGGCCUUGACAGUUAUACACAUUUAACGAAUUUGGGAUGCUCAAAAAUAAUAUUGUUUAGCUGCAUAUUCAGUUACACAACAGGACAGCUACCAAAAGCAGCAACAAGUAACUUGUGGGCGUCGUUUUGGAAUGUUUGGUAGUUUGGAGGCAAUAUGGUGGUUACUAUGGUGCUGCUCCAUAUAGAGAAGGGCUUAGCACCAGACAAGGGGGUUCUACCAUUUGGAUGACUUGGAUGAUGAGAUCAGUGUGGACUUGCCAUUGAGAACUGGAAUGGCCUUUUAGGUUAUACCCAUUUGGAUGUAUAUUGAGAACUGGAAUGCUUAUUCCAACAACAAUCAGUUUAAGGAAAUUCAAGUGUAAGAUUCGUGGGGAGGAUGGAGGUAGUCAACGUAUUGAGGACUUGAGGUUCGUUUUAUGAUAGACACUUGAUGAAGACUGUUUUUGUUUCAAGUAAGUUGUCUUUCAUGAACAAUAUAUGAUAAUCCCAAUAGUUAAAAUAAGUGUCUUUACAAGAAAUAUAAUGAGUUUGCUGAU